GUCAAUAUUCCUGUACCGAUGUGUAGUGCGAUGUGGGGACGGAGAAGGUUAACUCAGCCGGGUGUUGGAUGUCCCGGUUCAAGCCUGUAGUCGUGCUGCCUAGGCAAAUCCGGGCGGCUUAGAUGAGGGGUGAUAACGAAGCGGCUUGCCGCUGAAGUGAGUGAUACCCUGCUUCCAGGAAAAGCCACUAAGCUCCAGCUACACACGACCGUACCGCAAACCGACACUGGUGCGCGAGAUGAGUAUUCUAAGGCGCUUGAGAGAACUCUGGAGAAGGAACUCGGCAAAUUGACACCGUAACUUCGGAAGAAGGUGUGCCUUUAGUGGGUGAAAUUGUACAAAUGGAGCCCAAUGAGGCCGCAGAGAAUCGGUGGCUGCGACUGUUUAUUAAAAACACAGCACUCUGCAAAGACGAAAGUCGACGUAUAGGGUGUGACGCCUGCCCGGUGCUGGAAGAUUAAAUGAUGGGGUGCAAGCUCUUGAUUGAAGUCCCAGUAAACGGCGGCCGUAACUAUAACGGUCCUAAGGUAGCGAAAUUCCUUGUCGGGUAAGUUCCGACCUGCACGAAUGGCGUAACGAUGGCCACACUGUCUCCUCCAGAGACUCAGCGAAGUUGAAAUGUUUGUGAUGAUGCAAUCUCCCCGCGGAGAGACGGAAAGACCCCAUGAACCUUUACUGUAGCUUUACAUUGGACUUUGAACAGAUCUGUGUAGGAUAGGUGGGAGGCUUUGAAGCGGUGCCGCUAGGUAUCGUGGAGCCAACGUUGAAAUACCACCCUGGUGUGUUUGAGGUUCUAACCUUGGCCCGUUAUCCGGGUUGGGGACAGUGUAUGGUAGGCAGUUUGACUGGGGCGGUCUCCUCCUAAAGCGUAACGGAGGAGUUCGAAGGUACGCUAGGCACAGUCGGAAAUCGUGCUGAUAGUGCAUUGGCAUAAGCGUGCUUGACUGCGAGACUGACAAGUCGAGCAGGUACGAAAGUAGGACAAAGUGAUCCGGUGGUUCUGUAUGGAAGGGCCAUCGCUCAACGGAUAAAAGGUACUCUGGGGAUAACAGGCUGAUACCGCCCAAGAGUUCAUAUCGACGGCGGUGUUUGGCACCUCGAUGUCGGCUCAUCUCAUCCUGGGGCUGUAGCCGGUCCCAAGGGUAUGGCUGUUCGCCAUUUAAAGAGGUACGUGAGCUGGGUUUAAAACGUCGUGAGACAGUUUGGUCCCUAUCUUCCGUGGGCGCUGCAAGAUUGAGAGAGCCUGCUCCUAGUACGAGAGGACCGGAGUGGACGCACCUCUGGUGUAUCGGUUGUCACGCCAGUGGCAUUGCCGAGUAGCUAUGUGCGGAAGAGAUAACCGCUGAAAGCAUCUAAGCGGGAAACUCGUCUCAAGAUGAGUCUUGCCGGGGCCUUGAGCCCCCUGAAGAGUCGUUCGAGACCAGGACGUUGAUAGGCCGGGUGUGGAAGCUGGGUAACCAGUUAAGCUAACCGGUACUAAUUGCUCGUGAGGCUUGACCCC
rnacentral:rRNA from 1 species